rnacentral:rRNA from 1 species
GACGAACGCUGGCGGCGUGCUUAACACAUGCAAGUCGAACGGAAAGGCCCUGCUUUUGUGGGGUGCUCGAGUGGCGAACGGGUGAGUAACACGUGAGUAACCUGCCCUUGACUUUGGGAUAACUUCAGGAAACUGGGGCUAAUACCGGAUAGGAGCUCCUGCUGCAUGGUGGGGGUUGGAAAGUUUCGGCGGUUGGGGAUGGACUCGCGGCUUAUCAGCUUGUUGGUGGGGUAGUGGCUUACCAAGGCUUUGACGGGUAGCCGGCCUGAGAGGGUGACCGGCCACAUUGGGACUGAGAUACGGCCCAGACUCCUACGGGAGGCAGCAGUGGGGAAUAUUGCACAAUGGGCGGAAGCCUGAUGCAGCAACGCCGCGUGCGGGAUGACGGCCUUCGGGUUGUAAACCGCUUUCGCCUGUGACGAAGCGUGAGUGACGGUAAUGGGUAAAGAAGCACCGGCUAACUACGUGCCAGCAGCCGCGGUGAUACGUAGGGUGCGAGCGUUGCCCGGAUUUAUUGGGCGUAAAGGGCUCGUAGGUGGUUGAUCGCGUCGGAAGUGUAAUCUUUGGGGCUUAACCCUGAGCGUGCUUUCGAUACGGGUUGACUUGAGGAAGGUAGGGGAGAAUGGAAUUCCUGGUGGAGCGGUGGAAUGCGCAGAUAUCAGGAGGAACACCAGUGGCGAAGGCGGUUCUCUGGGCCUUUCCUGACGCUGAGGAGCGAAAGCGUGGGGAGCGAACAGGCUUAGAUACCCUGGUAGUCCACGCUGUAAACGGUGGGUACUAGGUGUGGGGUCCAUUCCACGGGUUCCGUGCCGUAGCUAACGCUUUAAGUACCCCGCCUGGGGAGUACGGCCGCAAGGCUAAAACUCAAAGGAAUUGACGGGGCCCCGCACAAGCGGCGGAGCAUGCGGAUUAAUUCGAUGCAACGCGUAGAACCUUACCUGGGUUUGACAUGGAUCGGGAGUGCUCAGAGAUGGGUGUGCCUCUUUUGGGGUCGGUUCACAGGUGGUGCAUGGCUGUCGUCAGCUCGUGUCGUGAGAUGUUGGGUUAAGUCCCGCAACGAGCGCAACCCUUGUUCACUGUUGCCAGCACGUUAUGGUGGGGACUCAGUGGAGACCGCCGGGGUCAACUCGGAGGAAGGUGGGGAUGACGUCAAGUCAUCAUGCCCCUUAUGUCCAGGGCUUCACGCAUGCUACAAUGGCUGGUACAGAGAGUGGCGAGCCUGUGAGGGUGAGCGAAUCUCGGAAAGCCGGUCUCAGUUCGGAUUGGGGUCUGCAACUCGACCUCAUGAAGUCGGAGUCGCUAGUAAUCGCAGAUCAGCAACGCUGCGGUGAAUACGUUCCCGGG